AAACAAGGGCAAACCUGCUAAAAGGCAGGGACGCAAAGCCGAGGGUCUAAGGUAUUUUAAGAUACUAUGAUAGUCUGGCUGCUAA
rnacentral:ncRNA from 1 species